rnacentral:rRNA from 1 species
UAGUGGCGAACGGGUGAGUAACGCGUGAGUAACCUGCCCUAGAGUGGGGGACAACAGUUGGAAACGACUGCUAAUACCGCAUAAGCCCACGGUACCGCAUGGUACUGAGGGAAAAGGAUUUAUUCGCUUUAGGAUGGACUCGCGUCCAAUUAGCUAGUUGGUGAGGUAACGGCCCACCAAGGCGACGAUUGGUAGCCGGACUGAGAGGUUGAACGGCCACAUUGGGACUGAGACACGGCCCAGACUCCUACGGGAGGCAGCAGUGGGGGAUAUUGCACAAUGGGGGAAACCCUGAUGCAGCGACGCCGCGUGGAGGAAGAAGGUUUUCGGAUUGUAAACUCCUGUCGUUAGGGACGAUAAUGACGGUACCUAACAAGAAAGCACCGGCUAACUACGUGCCAGCAGCCGCGGUAAAACGUAGGGUGCAAGCGUUGUCCGGAAUUACUGGGUGUAAAGGGAGCGCAGGCGGGAAGACAAGUUGGAAGUGAAAACCAUGGGCUCAACCCAUGAAUUGCUUUCAAAACUGUUUUUCUUGAGUAGUGCAGAGGUAGAUGGAAUUCCCGGUGUAGCGGUGGAAUGCGUAGAUAUCGGGAGGAACACCAGUGGCGAAGGCGGUCUACUGGGCACCAACUGACGCUGAGGCUCGAAAGCAUGGGUAGCAAACAGGAUUAGAUACCCUGGUAGUCCAUGCCGUAAACGAUGAUUACUAGGUGUUGGGGGAUUGACCCCCUCAGUGCCGCAGUUAACACAA